UCUGACCUGCGCCCGCGGCCUGGGCCCAUGCACUUUGGGGCUGGGGGGCGGGGGAGGUCACUGGGGGUACUGGGAGUCAUUGGUGGUAAUGGGCCACAACUGUAAUGACUACUAAUUAAAGCAUUGUCCCCGGAUGCCUGGGCUCUGUGGCUCCUUCCCCCGUCCCAGGCUCCCAGCAGACCCUGUAGCGCUGCUCCCUGCACUUGCGCUGUGGGGCUGUGGUCCGGUCUCUUCCCAGCAUGCACCAGAUGUCCUGCCGGGACUGACCCUGGGACAUCUCUUCCUCCGGGGGGGCUUGAGCUGCCCCCCUGCCCCCAAUCCUCUGGGUGUAGCACAGAGUUAGGCCCAGGUUCCCUUGGGUCUCACUGCUGCAGCAGCGGGGCUAGGGCUCGGGCAGGGUCUGAAGCAGGGCAGGGAGACGCAACAUAGCUCACUGGCCGGGUCUGGCUGCCGGGAGAUUUUCUCUAGCUCGCAGUGAGUCUGUUGGCCUCACUUGGCCCAAACGCCCGUGGUGCUGGACAGGGCAGAGACCAGCUGCCCCCACUGGCUCCAGGUGCUGUGCACCUUUGUUCGGAACCGUCCUUGUAGGAAGGGAUUCGGUGCUGACUCAUCCUUGUGCCAAUGCAGGGACAAACUGUCUGGCUGUUGCCCUUUUCGCCUGGGUACUUCCACUUGCUCACGAGCCCGUUACUGAAUUUUCCCUUAUUUUGUCAUCUGCUCGUUCUCGGGUCCUGCUCAGUCCCCUAGCUGUCCCUCUGACUCCUCUUUGGGCCUCUGCUCAAAAGGGGGCUGGGUAGAACAGCACUUAUGGUGCAGGGCUUCUGCAUUGGCAGCUCUCAGCAGCACCUGUUUGCCCCCAGGGCCAGCAGAAAAAGGCUGCGGCAGUGAUAUGGGUACCAGAGUCCUGCCCGUGAGAGAGGAGUGAGGUGCACCUGCAGGGCUGGGGUGGGCAGGGGCUGUGGGUUUGGAGUGAGGGGCUCCCUUGCCUGCGCUGGGGGUCUGGUGACUCCUGCUCGGGCCCUGCACAGCCAUUGGCGGGGACCUGGGGCAUCUGGGUGCUCCAUGGGAUGAGUGGGGCCAGGGUGGCUUGUGCAGGAAACUGAGCUGGGGGGGAAAAGGUUAGUGGCCAGAAUGGGGGGAGGGUGGCCUGGAUGCCUGGGUUCUUUGUGGGGGGGGGGGAGAGGAAAGCAGAGCAGGGGGUGAUGACAUUCUCCUCUUGGGGGAAGGGAGCACCAAUAACAUCCUCUAGCCUGCCCCAGUCCAGGUGCAGCCCAGUCCCGGGAGAGGACCCUGCUAUGGUCUGGGAGGUGGCAAGAUGGAGGAAGGGGAACAGAGCAGGGCAUGGGACAUGGGGACAGAAGCCCAAAUGCCUGGGUUCUCUCUUUUCUGGGGGGGGACUGCAGCACCCCGAUCUCUCCCACGUAGCAGGAGGUACCUGGGCAGCACAGGCUGGAGUUGCCUGUGCAGGACGGGGCCAGGGAGAUGCUGCAGGGGGACACCUAGUGCCUGAAUGGGACCAACAUCCCUGAGACCAGAGCCGAUCCCAAGAAUGGGGAAGCUGAGGCUUCAGCACAGAAGAAACAUUUUCAUGUAUUCAUUGUUUGCAUCGCAGUGCUGGUUUACUGGUGCCAUCUCCGGUAGUACGCCUGCGUGAGACACUGCAGCAGAAUGACACCCUGGUGUCUUCCUCCGGUCCCCGCUUCCAAUCCUACUGGCAUUUCUACACGGGAGGGUGUCGGACCCUGGCCUGAUGUGUGCAACUUAACCCACAGCAGUGAUGUGGACAACCAGCAAAUCCUCCACUACGACAGCGAGACGCAGACACGGGAGCUACCUGGGGACUAGGUGCAGGGGACUGUUGGCCCAGACUUCUGGGAUGACGAAAGCAGGGCCUUGCGGGACUGGCAGGGGGGAUUUCGAACGAACCUGGCCACACUGCGGCAGCACUACAAGCAGACCAGGGCUUUGCAGAAUGGCAAAGAGACUGUUGAGUUUGGACUUUUUCUGUUCAAAGGAGGCUGAGACUCCAGCCCCGAGCACAGGCAGUGCAGUUACAGUGAGAGUGACCCUCUAGAUUAGGUUGCCACAUUAUGCACAAGCACUCGUAGAGAUGUUAGUAUAGCUUCCAGCAGCAGAGGCCCUUGUUUUGGGCCAGAUGCAGCUUCGUAAUAUAUUGAGGAAGGGCCGUAUCAGCCCAUAAUUGCAUUCCAGGCACCCUGUCUGGCAAUAAAAUAAGAAAAUUCAGAAAAGAAUGGUACAGUGAUCACAAAUGGCUUGCAUACAGUGUCCAUCAGGAUACAGCUUUCUGUUUCUGUGGCUGAGCAUUUGGCAGUUCCCAAAUGGGUGACCAAGCAUCACAACUUGACAGAGGGAAAAAAACAGUGGAUGAAAACUGAGCACACUUACAAAGUGCAUCACAGACUGUGUUUUGUGCUCGCCGAGGCAUACCUGUUGAGGGAGCUGAUUCCACAAAUCAUGGAAACUUGUGGGAAUUGAUGAAACUGCAUAGUGAAGACAACAAAGUGAUUCAGCGGUUUAUGAUUAACCGAGACAAGUUCUUCACCUACCUACACAGCUCCUGUCAAAAUGAAAUACUUGAAAUUAUGGCUUCAAGUCCCAGAAUUCAAUAGUAAGAGAAGCAAAGGAAGCUGGAGUGUUUUGCAAUCAUUGCAGAUGAACCAAUGGAUCUCUCUAGGCAUGAAAAAGUCAUUCUCACACUGCGAUAUAUAAACCAGUCCUUUUGAAGUAUAAGAAUGAUUUAUUGGCUUCUAUAGGAUGCUGCAGAUGGUGCUUCACUUGCCACGCUGAUCAAGGCUGCUUUGUUAGAAUAAAUAGUCUUGGAAAGAAGCCAAUGAGAUACUGCUUCUUUUUCUGGCGGACCAGUAACUCUUAAACCACUCAGUGACACGUGAUGGAACUGUCAAGUUAAGGCUAUCCAAGCUCUUUUAGAAAAUUUUGAUGAAGUAGUUGAAGCGCUGGAUGAAAUCAAACAUGGGGGUUCAAAAGCUAGAGUUAAAACUUGUGCACUUUGCCUGCAAGACUUCAACUUCCUGUAGUGUAUGCUACUUAUGAGGAGAGUGCUUAUGCAAACCAGUCACCUACCCAAACCUUUUCAAUCAAAAGUCUUUACAUUUCGUAGAGCAACAGUGAUGGCUAAAUCCACAGUGUCUGUACUUCAAAGACUGAGAAGUGAGGAGUUUGUGUCCCAAGUAUUCAACAACCCUUAUGAACCUUGCCAGAAAAAUGGGCAUCCUGGACCUUGUGUCCCUCCACAAAAGGGUUGUUCCCCGAACACUGGGAGAAGGGGAAAUGUCCUUCUUUGAGAAACCAGAGGACUGUUACAGGACAGAAAUACUAUACAGAGCUUUGGACACCCUUAUUAGUGACAUGGAAGAUGGCUUUGCUGGGAAUGACCUAAACGUUUUCAAAUCCCUGGAAGAUGUUCUCUUUUUUUGAGACCCUGUCAGAGGAAAGCAUAGGCACCAUUUUCAAAACUUACAAGAUUGCUCAAGAGGAUUUGCAGCCUGAGAUCAACAUGUCUUCCAAACUGUUUGAAAUGCAUGGCAGCACUGGUACGAGUAGCAAAGUGGAGUGCCCCCCGGCUUGAAAGAAGAAUGAAGUUAUUUACUGAAAUGUCACUGCUUGAUACCCUUCCAAAUCUGGGAAACCUCUUUGCACUUUACCUAACUAUUCAGUUACUACAGCAUUAGCAGAGAGAAGCUUUUCGUCACUGUGGCAGCUGAAAAAGUACCUGAGGGCUACGAUGACAGAUGCUCAUGUUUCUAACCUGGAAAUACUACAGAUUUAAAAAAUAAACUAUCAACGUACCUGAAAUCAUUGCACAGUUUGCCAGCAGAAAGGACCAACGUCUACAAUUCUUUUAACAAGCCCGCAAAGCCUCAGUGAGCCAAGCCCCAGAGCAUGAAGCCCUGGUGAGUUAAGCCUUGGAGAACAAAACCUUGGAGACUGAAGCCUUGCAGAACUCUGUUUAACGGAUCCCAAUGGAGCCUGUGCAGCCUUUGGAGGGGCCACAGAGCAAAAGGAACGCGCUACAGCCCAUUCGCACCUUCACUUCAGCCCUGAUUUAGCCUGAGUGCGCACUUAUUUUACCCUUCCAGGUAGAGGUGAGAUGCCCUCGGUGAUGAUUCUUACCAGGCAGACGGGCUGUGCCUGGGUCAUGCUCAAGGGCAGCAGCACUCAACUUUUUGGCCAGCUGAGCGGUUGGGGCCAUCUGCAGCCGUACUGGGCUCUGGGGCCUGGCCCCAGCCCUGCCUGCCCUGCACAUGCUGGGGCCAAGUCCGGGGGGGCUGUGCACCUGUCCUGCCCCCCUGCGUGCCAGGGUUCAGAUGCUGCUUCCCUACUGGCACUCCAUGGGUUGUAGGAAGCGUCAUGGGCUGGAUGCCCUGGCACUGCGGGCCAAAGGUCACUCUCCCUGCCCUGGAGCAUCUCGGUGUCGAAUUUUUGCAGGGCUGUUCAGCGUGUGCUGUUGCUUUGUGCUGCUCCAGCUUGCUCAGUGCACAGCGCCUGCUCCCUGCAACCUGGGGGGACCCCAGGAUGGCCAUGGGCACAGGACAUACAAAAGCCUGACAUAAAGCAGCUUGUGAUCUAGCUGGGUGCCUGGACAGCCCCAUUCAGGGGCACUGGCAGAGGAGGCUAAAUGCUCUGAUCUUUGGCCGUGGAUGCUGCUUCGGACAACGCACACCUUUUUUCCCUUUUUCUUCCUUCUCUCUUUUUUUGAGGUUGGGGAGGUGGGGCUAAGUGAGGAGAGCUUAAGAGUGCAAGACCUUUUUUUAUAUCAUUAAAAUGAAGUGUACGUUUUGUGUUUGUAUGCUUGCUUACAACUCGAGCAUGGCUAAUGUAUUGACUAAACCUUCCAAAAUCCCUGAAUAACACCUGAAGAAAAUCAUAGGCAGGUUAUUUUUCACUUGACCCUUUUUGGGGCUUUGAUUCACUGGGAUUACUUGGCUUCUGAGAUGGCAAACUGGUACUCCUCCAUUCUGGAUGCAGUGAAUUCAGUUCAAUUGUCAUCAUUAUAUACAUGCUCACCUUUUUUUUUUUCUCUCUACAUUGAAAGAACAGUGCUCAACAUAUUAUAAUUUAAAGGUAAAAAAUAUUUUUUACCUAAGUGUUGUACUGAGUUCUUUGAAAAUAAAUACACACUGUACUUACAGAAAUA